AACGAACGCUGGCGGCAGGCCUAACACAUGCAAGUCGAACGCCCUAGCAAUAGGGAGUGGCAGACGGGUGAGUAACACGUGGGAACCUUCCCUAUAGUAUGGAAUAGCCCAGGGAAACUUGGAGUAAUACCGUAUACGCCCGAGAGGGGAAGAUUUAUCGCUAUAGGAUGGGCCCGCGUAGGAUUAGCUAGUUGGUGAGGUAAUGGCUCACCAAGGCGACGAUCCUUAGCUGGUCUGAGAGGACGACCAGCCACACUGGGACUGAGACACGGCCCAGACUCCUACGGGAGGCAGCAGUGGGGAAUAUUGGACAAUGGGCGCAAGCCUGAUCCAGCCAUGCCGCGUGAGUGAUGAAGGCCUUAGGGUUGUAAAGCUCUUUUGCCGGGGACGAUAAUGACGGUACCCGGAGAAUAAGUCCCGGCUAACUUCGUGCCAGCAGCCGCGAUAAAAUCACGUGUA
rnacentral:rRNA from 1 species